CUGACCAUAAAAAUACCAAAUACCCUUUAUUCUUUUCUCCAUUUUUCAAUCAACCUCGCGCGUUUAUAAUGAAAUCAAUACAGGCUUAAUUGUAGGGAUGGCAAUGGCCAAAUCGAGUUAGGGCUAUGAGUCAGGUUCACCUCGUGCUCAACCAUGAUUUUAUUUUAUUUCAUUUUAUUUUUAUUUAUUUACUUUUUAGAUAUUGUCUUACAAUAGGUUUUCUAUUCUAAAUUCUUUAAUAAUAAUAUUGUUCUAUUUUUAUAUUACAUUUGGUUUUAAUGAAUUUAAUAAAUUAUUUAACUUUAACAACAUGACAACAUUUUGUAAUAAUUUAACCAAAUUAACAACAAAUGAUUAAUUAAUUAUAAAAUAACUAAAUUAACAUGAGAAAGAAUAUUCUUAAGGAGCAGGUGAAUCAUAUGUGUGAUGUACAAGUAUUAAGUUUUUUUUUUAAAGUAAAAAUUAAUUUAACAGCCAAGAGUAAAGUAAAGACUUUUUGCUGAGGGCCGAAUGUAAUUAAACCCUAAGGCCAUGUUUGGAUGUUAGAAUUAAUUAUAGGAUUGGAUUAAUUUUUGAACUAAAUAUUUAUCCCAUGUUUGGUAAGUUUAGUUGGAUUAGAUUAAGGGGAACUAGAUUUGAAUUUAAUCCUAAAAUCAUAGGACUAAUAAUACUAAUUUACACUUGGGUUUAGAUAGGAUAAGAUCUAAAGAAAAAAAUUGUCCACUCAUGAGACUUUUAUUUAUAUCUUUUUUUCAUUUACACCUAAUAUUAAUUAAUUAAUUAAUUUUUAUUUUUGAUUUACUGAAAUUUUAUUUUUAUUUAUUAUCUAUGAAUUAAUUAAAUUGGCACUUUUACUUCUACUAACUCUUGAGAUUAAAUUUUCAUUACUUGUACAUUUAAUAAUUUAUCAAUAAAAUUAACCAUUUAAUAAUUUAUUGCAUUAUUUAAUUGUACUAAAUUUAAUAAUCACUAAUAUAUUAUUAAAAAUAAUCAUGAAAUGAAUAAUACCAUUAAUUAAUUGAUUUUAUAUAAUAUUUUUAAAUAUUUGAUAAAAAUUAAUUAAAUAUUUAGAUUGUUUUAUGCAUUUUUAUUUGGUUAUUAUAUUAUAACUACGCAAUAACUUAUUUACAAUAUAUUUAAUUUUCUUAUUAAUUACUGUUUAAAUUUAUUUUAAUUGUGAUUACAAAAUUUCAUGAAUCAUUGAUAUUUAUAUUUAAAUGUCAACUUAAAUACUCUUUAAUAUUAUCUAAAUAUAAUUUAAUAUAAUCUAAUCCGAUAUUAUACCAAAUAUAAGACUAUAUAAUAUAAUUCAACUUAAUCUAAUCCAACUCAAUUUAAUACAACCCUAAUAAUUAAUUUAAUCUAAUUUUACGUGCUAAACCCAACCUAACCCAAUCCUCAAUCAAAAUCUAAAAGUUUUUGAAUGGGAUCAAUCCUGCCAAGUGCCAGCAGGACUUUUCACUAUCCCUCUUUAGGCUAUUUUAUAGGAGAUUAAGACUUUGACACGGCAGCGAGCUAAGUUAGUCAAGUCACGCCGACAGGCACAACCACACAAGUGUCAAAAUAGUAUUCAUUCUUUAUGAAAGUAACAAAUUUUCACCCCUCGAGUAAUGGUGGAUUGGUGGCCUUGCUGAAGAGAUGAGCCCUAUCCAGUGCAAAAGUUUUAUCUGAAACGUAAUUCAAUUUUUUUUUUUAAAUAAUGUUUAAUAAAGAGUUCUCUCGGAAAAUCCUUCACUCCAGUAAAAGAUUCAUCUCAAGAAUGCGUGCUUGACUGUUUGCAUUCACACGGCCAUCUUAAAACAGAAUGACGCUUCGUCUGACAAAGGAUUGAAAUCCCUCUCCCCGAAAAUUUUGUGUACAUUUUGUUUGAGUAGAUAUCAUGCGCUCAAGCACUUCCUGGCCUUCGGCGUUUUUUAUUAUCAAAGCGUACAACCAGGAGGCCCGCUAUACCAGCUGUUGUCUUUUGACCAGCUUUUACAGGGCCAACACCUUGUGGGCUGCCUGCACAAACCGAAUCGAUGGUACAAUAAGUCAAACUUCAGUUAUUGAUAAAGACUUGCAUACAUAACUGGGAGCUGAUUUGAAGGGAAUUGUACUAAAUUUAAUAAUCACUAAUAUAUUAUUAAAAAUAAUCAUGAAAUGAAUAAUACCAUUAAUUAAUUGAUUUUAUAUAAUAUUUUUAAAUAUUUGAUAAAAAUUAAUUAAAUAUUUAGAUUGUUUUAUGCAUUUUUAUUUGGUUAUUAUAUUAUAACUACGCAAUAACUUAUUUACAAUAUAUUUAAUUUUCUUAUUAAUUACUGUUUAAAUUUAUUUUAAUUGUGAUUACAAAAUUUCAUGAAUCAUUGAUAUUUAUAUUUAAAUGUCAACUUAAAUACUCUUUAAUAUUAUCUAAAUAUAAUUUAAUAUAAUCUAAUCCGAUAUUAUACCAAAUAUAAGACUAUAUAAUAUAAUUCAACUUAAUCUAAUCCAACUCAAUUUAAUACAACCCUAAUAAUUAAUUUAAUCUAAUUUUACGUGCUAAACCCAACCUAACCCAAUCCUCAAUCAAAAUCUAAAAGUUUUUGAAUGGGAUCAAUCCUGCCAAGUGCCAGCAGGACUUUUCACUAUCCCUCUUUAGGCUAUUUUAUAGGAGAUUAAGACUUUGACACGGCAGCGAGCUAAGUUAGUCAAGUCACGCCGACAGGCACAACCACACAAGUGUCAAAAUAGUAUUCAUUCUUUAUGAAAGUAACAAAUUUUCACCCCUCGAGUAAUGGUGGAUUGGUGGCCUUGCUGAAGAGAUGAGCCCUAUCCAGUGCAAAAGUUUUAUCUGAAACGUAAUUCAAUUUUUUUUUUUAAAUAAUGUUUAAUAAAGAGUUCUCUCGGAAAAUCCUUCACUCCAGUAAAAGAUUCAUCUCAAGAAUGCGUGCUUGACUGUUUGCAUUCACACGGCCAUCUUAAAACAGAAUGACGCUUCGUCUGACAAAGGAUUGAAAUCCCUCUCCCCGAAAAUUUUGUGUACAUUUUGUUUGAGUAGAUAUCAUGCGCUCAAGCACUUCCUGGCCUUCGGCGUUUUUUAUUAUCAAAGCGUACAACCAGGAGGCCCGCUAUACCAGCUGUUGUCUUUUGACCAGCUUUUACAGGGCCAACACCUUGUGGGCUGCCUGCACAAACCGAAUCGAUGGUACAAUAAGUCAAACUUCAGUUAUUGAUAAAGACUUGCAUACAUAACUGGGAGCUGAUUUGAAGGGUUUGAAUAUGAUUAUGAAAAUUGGAGAGAAGGAUAUCUUAUGAAGUGAACACAGUAAAUAACAAUAAUGACACUAAUAACGUAACUUAUACACAGUGACAAUACACCUUCCUAAGCAUAAUAAGCUCUAACAUAUCAGUUAUCAGUAUUUAUACCAACUAAAAUUGCGCGUAUUCUUCACCAAAGCAAAAAUGAAAUUUGGUAACAGAUUCCACUAUCAACUGAUAUGCCAGUUUAUGCCAAGACAUAGUAAUUUCUUGGAGCACCUAGAAAAAUUAACUUACAAAGCGUGUUAGUGUUUUUAUUUGAAGGGAAAUGAACUGCAAUACCUGUUAAUAUGACAUCUCCUUCAAAAAGUGUCAUAAUUGAACUUAUGUGGCUAAUUAGAUAUGGUAUCUUAAAAAUCAUAUCCUUAGUGGAGCCUUGCUGUCGAAUCUCUCUAUCAACCUGCAGUGAAACACAUUUAAAGUUAAUCCACCCAGGUAGAAACAAAUUCGAAGCUUUGACAAAAGCCAUAAAGAAACAUGAGAGUAAAGAGUAAUGAUUAUGAACCUUUAACCAGAGUUCAAAGUUGUAGGGGUCAGGCACCGCUGACUUUGGUAGCUGCAAAUUUAUUUUACACUGAGUCAAAAAGGAGUGUAAUUAGUAAAUACAGAACAAAAUUAGCAAUAGAAAAUAAAAUUCUCUUCCUCUCUCCUUUUCCACUACUUGAUACAAGUAAGGGUGCACCAAGUGGAGGAUAAAUGAUAAACUCUUGUCUGCUUUGAAAGAAAAACACCAAUUCUCUUUUUCAACUUCUACAAACAAGGUACAAUUGCCGUUCUCAAGCACAAUUAUUUCCUUCCCAUAGCCUAUCCCAAAGCCACAUUUGGUGCUGUCAAUGGCCAAACAAUAAACUGAUUCAAAAUUAGGCUUUCAAUAUCGGGCCUGAAAAUUGAUUACCGCACAACAUAAUUUCAGCAGAGACAGAAACAUCAAAGUACUUCAUUCAGUUUCUUACAACAGAGCUAAUUGGUGUGAAGGUGUCCUGCCCUUUAGCCACUGUCCACCGAGGACAUGCAGACGGAAAUAUUGGACAAAAAAUAAAUGACAAGAAAAUGCAGCAUUAUAAAUUGGAUCAAAAAAGAUAACUUAAUGUGCUCAUACACUUAUUGUUUCAUAAUGAAGCACACAAGUAGUGUCCAAUCUUCUGAUUAUAAGUAGGUGUUAUUUCAGAAUACAAUUGAAUAAUACUCGAUCCUCAUGUUCAACAGCAUAACACAUUACAAAUGAUUUGCCUCGUUUACUUAUUUAUUAUUGGCUCAAAUAAGCUUGACCAGCAAGCAUGAAGGAAGUUGAACAACAGCCAGUGAAGUAAGUUGUAUCAUCAUCUGGUGAAUCUGUUUUAGCCUGCUGCUGCACACGAGUAAUUUGAUAUGAUAACAAUUUAAAACUGCAAUGCAAUAUGGAAACAGAAGUUUUAAGGGGCACUAACAGCUUGCAUUCGGUAACUUUGUGCUGUUGAUGGCUCAGAGUUCCCACGGCUUCUUCUCUCAUUCACAAGAAGAAGUGCACAUUUUCAUGUAAAGAACAGAAGCAGCACUCCCACAAAAAACGUAAUAAAGAAUUCGAUGACAAUGCCUGAUCCUAGAGCUGCAUUUAUAGGAAAAGGUUAGUGAGUACAAAUCUGUGAAAUGGAUAGUAAUUAAAAUGACAACUAUCACUUACUAUGAACUAACUCUGAACUCAUUGGCCUUCUAGUUUACGGUAGCCUCAGCGAAUAAAGGUAAUGAGAUUUUCUCAGUACAAUCUGGACGGCAACCAUAAUGUCCCAUAUCGUUUAAUUUCGCUUUUAAAACAUCAUGUCCUUCACCACUCUAAAUGCAAAGAACAGAUGGCUGAUUCAAGAUCAUUGACAUUUUCUUUGUGGUGUGCUCUGUGAUUGUGUUUUCCUCCAAAGUUACACUAUAAACUUCAAAGCGAAAAAACUUACUUGAUAAAACCUAACUACGCUGGCUUUAAUUGUGAAAUGUUUUGAGAUAGUAACGUAUGUUUGAAGAGGUUCCCACUGAAAACUUGUCUUUAGCUUCAGUUCGGUCGAAUUAAUAAGCUCUGCCGGUAUACUGGUUACAAGUAAUCCGUCAUUAACUUCCAUGGAAAAUGUGACUAAAAAAGCGAGACGUGCCACCUGAAUCAUAAAGGAGAGUAAGCAGAAUCUGCAAUGAAUUAAAUAGAAAAAUGCUGUUAAACAUACCCGGAUAGUUAAAAGCACCUGGUUCCCCAAUGGAGAAAUCGAACUUGUUUGUUUCUCUAUCAAGUAUCUGUGACUCAUCUGCAUCACUCAUCAGAACAAUAUAUCCAGGGACUUGAAUAAAUGGAGAAUCAUUAACUGGAUCCACAAAAACCAAAACCGCCAAAUCAUUUUUCCCAUUCUUGUUCCUGGCAGAGACUAGAAUUGCGUCCUCACCAUAAAAGUUUUUGUUUUUGAAUUAAAAAAUGAAAAAAAUAAGUCACUAGUAAGGUAUGAAUAAUGUAAAGCUUGAAAAGUCCAUAAGAGUAGUAAUUCGGGAGGUAAUACCCGAGAUAUUGAAUCAUAUCGAGUGAGUGAUAAUACUGGCUGUCACUUCCUUUGUGAAUGGAUAGCCCCCAUUCAAAACAAUAUUUGCGCAGAGUACAAGAAUUUUAUAAAUUCCACUCUUUUCAGGAGUAUAAGUAACAUCAAAAGCUCUCGCCUGAACUUUCAGUUUGCCGGAAGAUUGGAUUCAAGGGGAAAUUUUUUUAAAAAAAAGAAGAAGGCAUCACUCAAGAAAAUCUUAUGUAUGACUUCUCAAAGAAAAUAUGUGAAUUUGUUUCUAUUAAUCUUCCAUUUCUAAAACGAUAGGGCUGAAGUCUGUUAUAAUUAAUUAGUCUUCGAUAUGAUAUUAUAUUAUUGUAUGUAGUCAAAUAAUAACAAUGUAAUAUUAGCUUUAGACUGCUUAUAAGACUUUUAACUUAGAGGUGUUUCUGUGACAUAAUUUAUUAUCACAUACAUUAAUCUGGAUCUGCCGAGCCAUGUCAUGUGGGAAUUAAAAAGAGAGAGCAGCACAGCAUACAAGAAAAUAUUCUGAAAUGGUGCCCAAAUUCAACAACCAAUAAACAAGCAAACUUGUAUCUUGUAAUUUUUAUUUUUAUUUUUUUGUUCUUUUAUCUAAGAAGCCGGUGGUGUCUAAUCCACCUUCAAAUACUUACUGUAUUAACAAUUAACUUAUUCGUAGUGUACUUUAAAAGUGUGAGAUCCUAGAAAACAUACUGAAUUCAAUCAACAGUAUCUCCCCUACCAUUCAUUUGAGAACUUGUUUUAUCUAAGAAGCCGGUGGUGUCGAAUCCAAAUCAUACUUGUCUAUCUCGGAACAGCUGCCCAAGAUGGGCCACACUGCAAUGCUUUUCAAAAUUUCUCUGAAAUACUCGUCAAAAAAAAAAAAAUUCUCUGAAAUAUAUAGCUGUAUUUUCCGACACUUAAUUAAAUGAGUUUUAAUUCAAUUAAAUGAUGAUGUUACAGCUCACGCCCUAAAAAGUAACGUACAAUCAUAAAAAUAAAGACGAGCGAAGAUAAUUUUAGUGCACAUAUCUAUAUGUGAUGCAAAACGAUUCUCCUCGAACUCAUCCUAUAAAAUUAUCUUUACCAACAAUGCAUUCUUGGAUAAUCCGCUUGGAAAGUCUUCCUUUUCGUUCCUAAUUUGUCCUCUCUCUUCUAUCCUUUAACUCUAUUUAGCAACAUAAUAACUAGAAAUCUGAACAUUCAAUUCAUUCAUAGGCAGUGUUUUUACUUUUGAGGGACUGAGUUAACAUGGAGGGCAUACAACACAGAAUUGUUAAGGUGAACGGCAUUAACAUGCACAUUGCAGAGAAAGGUCAAGGUCCUGUGAUUCUCUUCCUUCACGGCUUUCCUGAGCUCUGGUACUCUUGGCGCCACCAGAUCACCGCCUUGGCUUCCCUUGGCUACAGAGCCGUGGCUCCGGACUUACGUGGGUUCGGUGACACGGAUGCGCCGCCUGACGUGACCAGCUACACAUGUUUCCACGUGAUUGGAGACCUCGUCGGACUCAUCGACACCGUGGCUCCCAAUGAUGAGAAGGUGUUUGUUGUGGGACAUGAUUGGGGUGCGUUCAUGGCAUGGUUCUUAUGUUUGUUUAGACCUGACAGAGUCAAAGCUUUAGUCAACUUGAGUGUCGUUUUUAAUCCUUUUGGUUCUAUCAACAACGUGAUUGAGGCUCUGAGGGCUUAUUAUGGUGACAAUUACUACAUGUGCAGAUUUCAGGUAACUCGGAUGUCCAUUUCUCAAACGAUAUGGCCGUCUAUUAAAAUUAAUUAAUCUUCCGUGUGUAGUACUUAAAAUUAUGAAGUCAUAUGAUUUAAUUAUACUGUUAAAUUAUAUGGCUUAAUAAUUUUUUCAAGCUUUAACAAAUUUAGAGUCUAAAUUUGUAUAUUUGGGAUAGAGAAAAUAUCCACUCUCCACUCAUUUUUUACAUCUUUUUUAAAAAUACACAAUUUUUUCAUUUUUUGGCUGAAAUUCACCUAAAGUUACAUUUUGUUUCACUUUUUCACUUCCGUUUAGAAUCCGUUAAGAAAACUAAUGGAAACUUAAAAAAAAUGACCAUUUUACCCCAAAAAAUGAAAAUUAUAAUUUCACCUUAAAAAUUAACAAAAAUAAUCAGAUUAAAUCUAAUUAUUUUCCCCAUCGGUCAAUAAAAAAAUUAAUUCCACAACCAUCAAAUGCAGGGUUUUUUGAAAUAUGUCUGUAAUUAGAAUGCUAAAUUAUAACAAUAGUAUUAAAAAUAUCCUAAUCUCGUAAACCAUCAAUUGAAUUUAAGAUAAGUAGAGUUUUAUUAUUCAUUGAGUUAUAAUCUCUAGUAGUUAAGAUUUUUUUGUACUUCAUUAACGUACCAAUAAUGAUAUUCAUCAUUAAAUCUGAUUAUUUUUGGUAUUUUUUAGGGUGAAAUUGUAAUUUUCGUUUUGGGGGUAAAAUUGUCAUUUUUUUAAGUUUCCGUUAGUUUUCUUAACGGAUUCCAAACGGAAGUGGAAAAGUGAAACAAAAUGUAACUUUAGAUGGAUUCUAACAAAAAAAAUGAAGGAAUUGUGUAUUUUUGAAAAAAAUGUAAAAAAUGAGUGGACGGUGGAUAUUUUUCCUAUGGGAUGUUUUCAUAUGUGAGCAUCUCAAGAUAUUGAAUUUAUUAAAAUUAUUAAAACAUAUGAUUGGAUAGCAUUAUGCUACUAUAUUAUUAAAUCACAUGAUUUAAUAAUUUUUAUAGAUAUUAUACUAUUAAACUGUAUGUUUAAGUAACUUUCUCAAACUUUAAUAAAUUCAGGAUCAAAGAUUAAAAUAUUUGUGUAUGUGCGCGCGCUAUAUAUGAUAUUAUAUUAUAUUAUUGUAUGCAGGAGCCUGGAGAGAUUGAAGCAGAGUUUGCGCAGAUUGGUACUGAGACGGUUAUUAAGGAAUUCUUGACAUUUCGGACUCCGGGUCCGAUUAUUUUGCCUAAAGGCAAAGGAUUUGGGCAUCCACCAGAUGCUCCAAUGGCAUUACCCAGUUGGUUGUCUGAGGAAGAUGUUAAGCAUUUCACCGCCAAAUUUGACAAGAAAGGCUUUACCGGAGGAAUCAACUAUUAUAGAAAUAUUAAUCUGUAAUGCUCCCUUAUUCCUCACUCUCUACGUUUUUUUUUUUAAAAGGAAGGCUAAUAUUGCAUUAACACAAAAAAGAAAAGAGAUACAAUAGUUAUGAUGGGUAUGAACUUAUCCACACAAUAGUUUCACACUUUUCCAAAGCUAAUUUAGUUAAAGAAUGGGCAAUGGUAUUACAAGAUCUAUGGGCAUACUGAAUAUUAACAUGAUCAAAUCCCUUGAUUAAGUUCUGAAUUUCAGAUAUUACCCAAAAAAUCUCACAUCUGCUGCCCUGCAUGUUGUUUACAAGAUUGACCACCUCUUGAGAAUCUGAUUCAACCAUCAAACUCCUUGCUCCUGCUUGAGCUGCUAUCUGAAUUCCCCACUCCAUUGCUUCGGCCUCCACAAAAGCUACAUCACCAUUAAACUUAGAGAGCUUAAUUGCAGCUGCCAAAACAUUUCCAGCUUCAUCUCUACAUUUGAUACAUAACUUUUUAAUUUUGUGAACUUUCAAUUGUGAUAUGAAAUUAUCAGCUAUUAAGUAAAAUUGCAUAUUACAACAUGCAUAUUUAUUAAAGGAAAAUGUUUGAUGUAGAGAAGCACGAGAGAAAGACGAGAGAAAUAAUGAAAAAAAGUAUAGAGAGAGAGUGAGUGGGUAGAGAGAGAGAGAGAGAGAGAGAGAGAGAGCAAAAUUCUCUAAUCUUUCUCUCGUGCUUCUCUCUCUCUAGCACUACCCUUUAUUAAAUACUAUCAACUUUUAAUUUUCCUUUCACAGCAUCACACUAUCAAACGAAACUAACUAUUGUGAUUUUAAUGUCAACCUGAAGCAAAAUAGUUUCAAAUAUAUCCUCUAUAUAUAUAUAUAUAGUAAAUAUCCUUUUCGUCAUUGCAGGAGCCAGGAACUUCUUGCACCGUGGGCGGGGAGUCGAUUACAAAUUCCGACCAAGUUCAUUAUAGGCGACCUGGACCUGGUUUAUCAUAUGCCAGGGGUGAAAGAAUACAUACACAAAGGUGGGUUCAAAAGAGAUGUGCCAUUGUUGGAGGAAGUAGUGAUAAUGGAAGGAGUUGGGCACUUCAUUAAUCAAGAAAAGGGUGAUGAGAUUAGCAAGCACAUUUAUGACUUCUUCAACAAGUUCUGAUUAGUUCUUUGCAUCUUCAUGCAUAUUUCCACUUGGGUGUCUUUUUGUUUUAAUAAAGUUGCUGGGAUGUUCUUGUGCCGGCCUGUUCUAGUUUUUGAUUCAUUAUAAACCAAGCUAUUAGUGGCUUCGACUUGUAAUUUCCGUAUUGUUGGAACAAUCAAAUAAUUUAGAGUGCCUUUGGUAUAUAAAGUUAUCUAAUAUAUAGAUAUUGAUAAAAGAAAUAUAUAUAAUUUCACAAACUAGUACAUGUAUUUAUAUAGUGCUAUAUAAAGUCAUCAUAAAAAUUUAAUAUUUGCAUUCUCUUUAAUUUUUUUCUCUCAAUAUAAAUUCUAUAAAUAUUGUAUAAUAUAUAAAUCAUUAUCCCAAACAACUAUUACAAAAAAAAAAAAAAUUGUUUCAUCAUAAAUUUUUAAUGCAACAUAGCAUGAAUCGUUUAAAAUAUAGAAAUAAUUAUUACUAUGUAGAGUUAAGUUUCGCAAGAUAGUAUCUAGAAAAAUUAAUCACUUAUUAUAAUGUUUAUUUCAUUCUUAUAUAUAAUUUAAUCAAAUUAGGACUAAAUUUUUUUAUAACUAUAUGGAGAUUAUUCUUAUAUAGAGUACUACUUAAUGAAGUUUUACUAUAAAGUAAAAUAUAUGUAAGCCCAUCUUUUUGGUCUUAUUUAAUUUUUAUUAAAGUUUCAAAUGAAAAGAAGAAACGUGAGGACUUUGAUCAUUAUUAUGCAAAUAAAACAAAAAAGUUGAGCCCAAGUUCAAUUUACAAUGGAAGAAUACGAGAAAUAACAAAAAAGUUGUUUUCUACUCUUGUUCACAAAUUGUGCAUUUACUUCUUGCAUUAGAAAAUUGAAAUUAUUAACAAGUUUAUUUCACAAAAUGAGAGUGGGAAUUGAAAUCGUAGGACUUACCCCGAUUUGGGAAUGAAAAUUCUCAAAGAAUGGAAAUUAGGAUUGGAAAAAAGUCCAGACUGGGUCGUAGGCUUAAAGCCCCGGCACGCAUAGGUUGAGCCUGGAUAUGGGCCACAAAAUUUAAAGUCCGCACAGGUUGCCUUACAUAACAUUUUUUUUUCAUUUUGUUAUUUUUGCAAAACAGAAAAUGGCUGACCAUAAAAAUACCAAAUACCCUUUAUUCUUUUCUCAAAUUUUCAAUCAACCUCGUAGGGUUAUGAUGAAAUCAAUACAGGCUUAAUCGUGGGGAUGUCAAUGGCCAAAUCGGGCUAGGGCUAUGAGUCAGGGUCACCUCGAAAAUUUUGUGUACAUUUUGCUUGAAAUGCAGUUGCAGUGGAGUGGACAUCAUAAGUUCAAGCACUUCCUGGCCUUCGGCGUUUUUCAAUAUCAAAGUUUACAUCCAGGAGGCCCGUUAUACCAGCUGUUAUCUUUUGAC
rnacentral:lncRNA from 1 species